UGGGGUGUAGCUUAGUGUUGAAGCAUUUGCCUGGCAUGCAUGAGACUCUGGGUUCAAACCCUAGCACCAUAU
rfam:Heterocephalus glaber contig157505, whole genome shotgun sequence.